GCUGGGCAGGGUGGUGCAUGCCUGUAAUCCCAGCUACUCUGGAGGCUGAGGCAGGAGAAUCACUAGAACCCAGGAGGUGGAGGUUGCAGUGAGCCAAGACUGCACUGCACCACUGCACUCCAGCCUGGAUGACAGAGUGAGACCCUGUCUCUA
rnacentral:sRNA from 1 species